rnacentral:rRNA from 1 species
AUUGAACGCUGGCGGCAGGCUUAACACAUGCAAGUCGAACGAGUGGCGGACGGGUGAGUAAUGCUUGGGAAUCUAGGUUAUGGAGGGGGAUAACUACGGGAAACUGUAGCUAAUACCGCAUACCAAAGGAUGUGCCCAAGUGGGAUUAGGUAGUUGGUGAGGUAAAGUCACACGAAGCCGACGAUCUCUAGCGGGUCUGAGAGGAUGACCCGCCACACUGGCACUGAGAAACGGCCCAGACUCCUGCGGGGGGCAGCAGUCGGGAAUAUUGCGCAAUGGGGGCAACCGAACGCAGCCCUGCCGCGUGAAUGAAGAAGGCCUUCGGGUUGUAAAGUUAUUUCGGUAGCGAUGCGUUAACUACAGAAGAAGCACCGGCUAACUCCGUGCCAGCAGCCGCGGUAAUUC